rnacentral:ncRNA from 15 species
AUAAGAUGAAAUAAAGCUAGAAUCCGCGUCCUAAAGAAUUUUUGUGUUAUGAAGAUGGUGAAAAUCCAUCGCUGUGCCCGCAACUGUAAAUGAAGUGAUAUUCAGUUUUCCGAUAAAUAUCGCCUCAAAGUCAGAUAGCUAACCAAAAAAACUAUGCU